CCCUUAUCACGAGUGGCAGAGGGACGGGCCCAAUGAAGCCACGGCAACCGGCACGCAAGUGCGUGGUGCCAAUUCCCACAGUGCGCACACAGGCUCUAUCCAGAGCAGCACUGACAGAUAAGGA
rfam:Faecalibacterium sp. CAG:74 genomic scaffold, scf417